UAAUAUUUAUUAUAAGAAAUAUAUUUGUUUUUGAUGCAAAAGAUGAAAUAUUAA
rnacentral:tRNA from 1 species